AGGGUUCGAUCCUGGCUCAGAUUGAACGCUGGCGGCAUGCCUAACACAUGCAAGUCGAACGGUAACAGGUCUUCGGAUGCUGACGAGUGGCGGACGGGUGAGUAAUGCGUAGGAAUCUGUCUUUUAGUGGGGGACAACCCAGGGAAACUUGGGCUAAUACCGCAUGAGCCCUGAGGGGGAAAGCGGGGGAUCUUCGGACCUCGCGCUAAGAGAAGAGCCUACGUCUGAUUAGCUAGUUGGUAGGGUAAAGGCCUACCAAGGCGACGAUCAGUAGCUGGUCUGAAAGGACGACCAGCCACACUGGGACUGAGACACGGCCCAGACUCCUACGGGAGGCAGCAGUGGGGAAUUUUUCGCAAUGGGGGCAACCCUGACGAAGCAAUGCCGCGUGGAUGAAGAAGGCCUUCGGGUUGUAAAGUCCUUUCGUGGGGGACGAAAAGGNGGUUCCUAAUACGAGCUACUGUGAC
rnacentral:rRNA from 1 species